UAGGGAAUCUUGGACAAUGGGCGAAAGCCUGAUCCAGCCAUGCCGCGUGGAUGAUGAAGGCCCUAGGGUUGUAAAAUCCUUUCGCUAGGGAAGAUAAUGACGGUACCUAGUAAAGUAGCCCCGGCUAAUUUCGUGCCAGCAGCCGCCGUAAUUCGAAAGGGGCUAGCGUUGUUCGGAAUUACUGGGCGUAAAGCGCGUGUAGGCGGGUCGGUCAGUCAGAGGUGAAAGCCCAGGGCUCAACCCUGGAAUAGCCUUUGAUACUGCCGACCUUGAGUGUGGGAGAGGUGAGCGGAAUUCCGAGUGUAGAGGUGAAAUUCGUAGAUAUUCGGAGGAACACCAGAGGCGAAGGCGGCUCACUGGAUCACUACUGACGCUGAGACGCGAAAGCGUGGGGAGCAAACAGG
rnacentral:rRNA from 1 species